AAGUCGUAACAAGGUUUCCGUAGGUGAACCUGCGGAAGGAUCAUUAACACUGAAAUCAUUGGAUCACAACUUUUUUUUGAAGUUGUGUUCCACAUGUCUACCCACUCUUGGACGCACUCUUGAGACUGUGAAAAUCAGUCGCUUUUUUUCUCCCCAUUUUUAAACCCAACCCCACACCAAAAUACACAUAACCAAUGCCAAUGACUGAUAUCACCAGUUUGUUAUAAAUUGUAAAACAACUCUUAACAACGGAUAUCUUGGCUCUC
rnacentral:misc_RNA from 1 species